rnacentral:rRNA from 1 species
CCAGCUCCAAUAGCGUAUAUUUAAGUUGUUGCAGUUAAAAAGCUCGUAGUUGGAUUUCGGGUGGGGUUGUGCGGUCCGCCUCUGGUGUGCACUGCCUGGCUCCACCUUCCUGCCGGGGACGGGCUCCUGGGCUCUUCUGUCUGGGACUCGGAGUCGGCGAGGUUACUUUGAGUAAAUUAGAGUGUUCAAAGCAGGCCUACGCUCUGAAUACAUUAGCAUGGAAUAACACGAUAGGACUCAAUCCUAUUUGUUGGUCUGUGGGACUGAGUAAUGAUUAAGAGGGGUAGUCGGGGGCAUUCGUAUUCCGUUGUCAGAGGUGAAAUUCUUGGAUUUACGGAAGACGAACAUCUGCGAAAGCAUUUGCCAAGGAUACUUUCA